rnacentral:rRNA from 1 species
GACGAACGCUGGCGGCGUGCCUAAUACAUGCAAGUCGAGCGCAGGAAGCCGUCCGAACCCUUCGGGGGGACGACGGUGGAAUGAGCGGCGGACGGGUGAGUAACACGUAAAGAACCUGCCCAUAGGUCUGGGAUAACCACGAGAAAUCGGGGCUAAUACCGGAUGUGUCAGCGGACCGCAUGGUCCGCUGAUGAAAGGCGCUUCGGCGUCGCCCAUGGAUGGCUUUGCGGUGCAUUGGCUAGUUGGUGGGGUAACGGCCCACCAAGGCGACGAUGAAUAGCCGACCUGAGGGGGUGAUCGGCCACACUGGGACUGAGACACGGCCCAGACUCCUACGGGAGGCAGCAGUAGGGAAUCUUCCACAAUGGACGAAAGUCUGAUGGAGCAACGCCGCGUGACCGAUGAAGGCUUUCGGGUCGUAAAGUUCUGUUGUAAGGGAAGAACAAGUGCCGCAGGCAAUGGCGGCACCUUGACGGUACCUUGCGAGAAAGCCACGGCUAACUACGUGCCAGCCGCCGCGGUAACAC